rnacentral:rRNA from 1 species
GACGAACGCUGGCGGCGUGCUUAACACAUGCAAGUCGAACGAAGUGGCGAACGGGUGAGUAACGCGUAAUCAACCUGCCCUUCAGAGGGGGACAACAGUUGGAAACGACUGCUAAUACCGCAUACUGAAGGAGGGGAUUGCGUGUGAUUAGCUAGUUGGAGGGGUAACGGCCCACCAAGGCGAUGAUCAGGAACCGGGCUGAGGGGAUGAACGGCCAAAUUGGGACUGGGAAACGGCCCAGACUCCUACGGGAGGCAGCAGUGGGGGAACAUCCGAAAUGGACGAAAGUCUGACGGAGCAACGCCGCGUGAGUGAUGAAGGCCUUCGGGUUGUAAAGCUCUGUUAAUCGGGACGCGGUACCGGAAUAGAAAGCCACGGCUAACUACGUGCCAGCAGCCGCGGUAAUUC